UGAGCCGGUACCAAAAUCUGCAUAGAAAGUGUAUAGUGUAGCAUCAGAACAACUGACCCCAUGUACUGAUAAGGGCUAAGCCUAACCUCGGCGAAGUAGUGACGAGGCUAGGACAAGACACCCACAUAUAACCUGAACAGUAUAAUUAUGCUAGUGGCAACUACAGUAAAUAAAAAAAUAAUGCAGACAUAAUGGAAAGGGACAUACAGUGGGGGAAUACAAUAUAAAGAGUGAGAAUAAUGAAAAGACAGAAUUAAACCAAAAAUCCUUAAACAAAUUGAGCAAAUAAAACAGCAAAGGAAAAACUGCACAGCAUCACCCUUCGUACUUUUACUCUCAACCUUACCAAAUAAAUAAAUAGAACGGCACGGCAUCACCCUUCAUGCUUUUACUCUCAAUCUCGCCAAAUAAAUAAAUAGAACGGCACAGCAUCACCCUUAGUGCAUUAAACCUUUCAUAAUAUACACGGCAUCACCCUUCGUGCUUUACACUCUUCAUCACAAUAUAAAUAAUGCAUGCACGGCAUCACCCUUCGUGCUUUACACUCUUCCUCACAAUUUAAAUAAUUUAUGCAUGGCAUCACCCUUCGUGCUUUACACUCCUCCUCACAAAUCACAGAAUCAAUAACAACGGAUAGAUAGGAGUAUCACAAAGAAACCAGUAUUUUACCCAUAAUCAAUAGCACAAUGAAACCUCAACCUUGAAUCUAUAUUCGAAAGUUACCAAAUCUCAGUGAAACCAGAUAUAAGUCACCCAACAUUUCAAAUAACCCGCUAAGCAUGGAUAGUAGAAUUUAAGGCUACAAAAUAGACAAGAAUAGAAUCACUCACAUGCUAUGACUUGACAACGAUGUAUAGAUGCUUGUCACAUCACCUAUACAUCGUAUUUAACAACCAAACACGUAGCAAAUAAACACAUAAUACCUAUUCCCUCAAGCCAAAGUUAGACACUACACUUACCUCGCUCCGAAGGCCACUUAAUUCUCAAUCACAGCUUUUUCUUUGGAAUUCACCUCGAAACCACUCGCAUCUAUUCAAAAAUGACUCAAUAAUUUCAAAUAUUGCUAACGAAAUCAAUUAUAUUGAAUAAAUUAAAUUUUUCAAAUUUUCCUCCAAAAAGUCGUAAAAAUCGAUCUCGGGCCCGCUUGGUCAAAACCCAAGGUUCGGACCAAAUUUUAUUUAUCCAUUCACCCCCGAACCCGAAUAUAUAAUUGGUUUUGGAAUUUGACCUAAAAUUGAGGUCUAAAUCCCCAAAUUUUCGAAAUUUCUAGUUUUCACCCUAACCCUUAAUUCUACCAUGAAAACUCUAGAUUUUAGGUUGGUAAUUCACAAAAUGUAAUGGGUAAUUGAAAGAAAAUGGUUUAGAAUCACUUACCAAUACUUUGUGAAAGAAAAUGACUCUUGAAAAUUGCCUCUACCCGUUUGGUUCUUAAAAAAUGUUGAAGAAAUGGCUUAAACUCGUGUUUGAUUCUGUUUUAUGCACUGGGCGACAGUGUGCAUCGCGUUCGCGAGACCACUGUCGCGUUCGUGAAGGGUACUGGCUGCCAAGCCUUCGCGUUCGCGAGACCCUUCUCACGUUCGCGAUGGUUACUCCCCCCUGGCCUUCGCGUUCGCAAGCCAUUGCUCGUGUUCGUGAUGAAGGAACGACCAACCCUCCCCUAGGUCCUCAAGUGCUCCGCGUUCGCGAUGAGCCGGUCACGUUCACGAAGGGUAAAUCCCCCAUCACUUCGCGUUCGUGACCAGGCUUUCGCGUUCGCGAAGAAGAAGUCCCAGCCUCACCAGUUUACACUUCGCGUUCGCGAGAGGACCAACACGAAGAAGGAUAUGCCAGACACCAGAAUCUGUAGAAAACAAGAGUUUUCCCAAGUCCAAAACAUGUCGUGGCCUAUCCGAAACUCACCCGAGCCCUCUGGGAUCCAAACCAAACAUGCACAAAAUUCUAAAACCUCAUACGGACCUGCUCGCGCGAUCAAAUCGCCAAAAUAACACCUAGAACUCCGAAUUUAGCACCAAAUCAAAUAAAAUUCUCAAGAACACUUUAAAAUUUCUAUCUUCUCAGCUGGACGUCCGAAUCACGUCAAGUCAACUUCGUUUGUCACCAAAUUUCACAGACGAGUCUUAAAUAUCAUAAUGAACCUAUACCGGAUUCCGAAACCAGAAUACAAAUCCGGCACUAACAAUGCCAAACAUCAAUCAAUUCUUAAAAAUAAUUAAUUUUCAGACUUUUAAUUUUCAUCAAAAAUUCAUAACUUGAGCUAGGGAUCUCCGAAUUCGAUUUCGGGCAUACGCCCAGGUCCCAUAAUUCGAUACGGACCCACCGGGACCGUCAAAAUAAUGAUUCGGGCCCAUUUACCAAAAAUGUUGACAGGAGUCAACUAAAAUUAAUUUUUUAAGGCAUAAAUUCUUAUUUUCAUCAAUUUUUAACAUAAAAGAUUUUCUGGAAAACUGCCGGACUGUACACGCAAAUCGAGGAGGGUAAAAAUGAGAUCUUUAAGGCUUAAGAGCGAAGAUUCAAGUUCUAAAACAUAAGAUGACCCUUUGGGUCAUCACAUUCUCCACCUCUAAAACAAUCGUUCGUCCUCGAACGGACAUAGAAAAGUACCUGGGCUGGUGAAAAGGUGGGGAUAUCUACUCCGCAUAUCAGACUCGGACUCCCAAGUAGCUGCCUUAAUAGGCUGACCUCUCCAGUGCACUCGAACUGAAGGGUAACUCUUUGAUCUCAACUGGCAAAUUUGCCGGGCUAAAAUAGCCACUGGCUCCUCCUCGUAAGUCAAAUCCUUAUCCAACUGGGCAGAGUUGAAAUCUAUCACAUGGGACGGAUCACCGUGAUACUUUCGAAGCAUGGACACAUGGAAUACCAGAUGAACAACUGCUAAACUAGGUGGCAAUGCAAGCUUGUAAGCCACCUCUCUCACUCUCUCCAGAAUCUCAAAAGGCCCGAUAUACCUAGGGCUUAACUUGCCCUUCUUUCCGAACCUCAUUACACCCUUCAUGGGUGAUACCCGAAGUAACACUCUCUCUCCGACCAUGAAUGCAACAUCACGAACUCUACAGUCGGCAUAAAUCUUCUGAUUUGACCGAUCUGUUCGAAGUCGAUCAUGAAUAAUCUUGACCUUAUCUAAGGCAUCCUGUACUAAGUCUAUGCCCAACAACCGAGCCUUUCCCAGCUCAAACCAUCCAACUGGCGACCGGAACCGCCUAACAUAUAAUGUCUCAAAGGGAGCCAUCUGAAUGCUCGAUUGGUAAUUGUUGUUGUAGGCAAACUCUUCAAGGGGAAAGAACUAAUCCCAAGAACCUCCAAAGUCUAUGACACAAGCGCGGAGCAUAUCCUCCAAGAUCUGAAUAGUACGCUCGGACUGCCCGUCCGUCUGAGGAUGGAAUGAUGUGCUCAACUCAACCCACAUAACUAACUCACGUUGUACUGCCCUCCAAAAGUGCGAGGAAAACUGUGUACCUCGAUCAGAAAUGAUAGACACGGGCACACCGUGAAGACGGACGAUCUCCCGAAUAUAAAUCUCUGCUAACCGCUCCGAGGAAUAGGUAACUGCCACAUGAAUAAAGUGCGCUGACUUAGUCAGCCUAUUCAUAAUAACCCACACGGCGUCGAACUUCCUCUGAGUCUGUGGGAGUCCAACAACAAAGUCCAUAGUGAUAUGCUCCUACUUCCACUCAGGAAUCUCCAUCUGCUGAAGCAUUCCACUCAGGAAUCUCCAUUUGCUGAAGCAAACCACCGGGUCUCUGAUGCUCAUAUUUCACUUGCUGACAAUUCAAGCACCGAUCCACAUAAGCAACUAUAUCUUUCUUCAUCCUCCUCCACCAAUAAUGCUGCCGUAGGUCCUGAUACAUCUUGGCAGCGCCCGGGUGAAUAGAAUAAUGAGAACUGUGAGCCUCCUCAAGGAUCAACUCACAAAGCCCAUCCACAUUAGGCACACAAAUACGACCCUACAUCCUUAAAACUCAGUCAUCUCAAAUAGUAACCUGCUUGGAACCACCGUGCUGCACUGUGUCUCUAAGGACAAGUUAAUGAAGAUCGCCAUCCUGCCGAUCUCUGAUGCGCUCAAACAAAGAAGACCAAGCAACUGUACAAGCUAGGACACGACUGGGCUCAGAAACAUCUAACCUCACGAACUGGUUGGCCAGGGCUUGAACAUCCAAUGUAAGCAGUCUCUCACUAACUGGAAUAUAUGGAAGGCUACCCAUACUGACUGACUUUCUACUCAAAGCAUCGGCCACCACAAUGGCCUUCCCNNNNNNNNNNNNNNNNNNNNNNNNNGUAAAGAUAGUGUCUCCAAAUAUUCAACGCGUGAACAAUGGCUGCCAGCUCUAGAUCAUGAACAGGGUAAUUCUUCUCGUGAACCUUCAGCUGCCGCGAAGCAUAUGCAAUAACCUUGCCACCCUGCAACAAUACCGCACCCAGACUAAUACGGGAUGCAUCACAAUAUACUGUAUAAUAUUCUGAACCAGUGGGUAACACCAAUACAGGUGUCAUAGUCAAAGCAGUCUUGAGCUUCUGAAAGCUCGCUUCACACUCGUCUGACCACCUGAACGGGGCACCCUUCUAGGUCAAUCUGAUCAACAGGGCUGCUAUGGAUGAAAACCCCUCCACAAAUCGACGGUAAUAGCCCGCCAAACCCAUGAAAUUACGGAUCUCUAUAGCUGAUGUGGGUCUAGGCCAGUUCUGAACUACCUCAAUUUUCUUAGUAUCUACCUGAAUACCCUCUGCUGAUACAACGUGACCCAAGAAAGCAACUGAACUCAACCAAAACUCGCAUUUUGAGAACUUAGCAUAUAACCGGUUGUCUUUUAGAAUCUGAAAAAUGAUCCGAAGGUGCUGCUCAUGCUCCUCUCGACUGUGGGAAUAGAUCAAGAUAUCAUCAAUAAACACAACCACAAAGUAAUCUAAGUAGGGUUUGAACACCCGGUUCAUCAAAUCCAUGAAUGCUGCUAGGGCAUUUGUCAGCCCAAAUGACAUCACUAGAAACUCAUAAUGCCCAUACCGAGUCCGAAAGGCUGUCUUAGGAACAUUGGAUGCCCUAAUCCUCAAUUGAUGGUAGAUAGAUCUCAAAUCAAUCUUUGAAAACACCUUGGCACCCUGAAGCUUAUCAAAUAAAUCAUCAAUCCUCGGCAAUGGAUACUUGUUCUUGAUGGUGACUUUGUUCAACUGUCGAUAAUCUAUACACAUCCUCAUCGAUUCAUCUUUCUUCUUCACAAACAACACAGGUGCACCCCCAGGGCGAGACACUAGUUCUAAUGAAGCCCUUAUCAAGAAAAUCUUGCAACUGCUCCUUCAAUUCUUUCAACUGUGGCGGGGCCAUGCGGUAUGGCAGAAUGGAAAUAGGCUGAGUGCCCGGAGUCAAAUCAAUGCAAAAAUCAAUAUCGUUGUCGGGUGGCAUCCCCGGCAGGUCUGCAGGAAUCACCUUUGGAAACUCACGAACAACCGGUACUGAAUCCAUGGAAAGAACCUCCACACUAGAAUCGCGGACAUAAACCAAAUAUGCUAGACACCCCUUCUCGACCAUAUGCCGAGCCUUCACAUAAGAGAUAACCCUGCUAGCAGAAUGGCCAAGAUUCCCUCUCCACUCUAAUCGAGGCAACCCCUGCAAGGCUAAGGUCAUCGUCUUGGAGUGACAAAAUAAUAUUGCAUGAUAAGGUGACAGCUAAUCAAUACCCAGUAUGACAUCAAAAUCAACCAUGUCAAGAAGUAGAAGAUCUACACGAGUCUCAAGACUCCCAAUGGUGACCACACACGAAUGACAAACACGAUCUAUAACAAUAGAAUCUCCCACUAGUGUGGACACAUACAUAGGAGCACUCAAAGAAUCACGGGGCACAACCACAUAGGAAGCAAAAUAGGAUGACACAUAGGAGUAAGUAGAUCCCGGAUCAAAUAGAACUGAAGCAUCUCUACUGCAAACUGAAACAGUACAUGUGAUAACAGCGUCAGAUGACUCAGCCUCAAGCAUGGCUGGGAAAGCAUAAUACCAGGGUUGGGCCCCACCACCCUGAACUACGUCCCUGGGAUGGCCUCUAACUGGCUGAUCUUCGCCUCUAACGGCCUGACCUCCACCUCUAACUGUCUGGCCUCUACCUCUGGCUGCCUAACCCCUGCUUCUGGCUGGCAGAGCAGGUGGUGUAGCAACUGGUGCCGGAACAAUGGCAUGAGAACUCUGAUGCUGUGAGCUUCCCGUUGCCCGAGGGCAAAAUCUAGCAAUGUGCCUCAGAUCACCACAAGUAUAACAUAACUUCGGUUGUUGUGACUGCUGACCCUGAAGGUGACACUGUCGACCUGAAUAACUACCCUGAUAACUCUGGAGUGGAGGUGCACUAAUAGGAGCUGAUGGUGCACUGUAGGCUAGCUGGUCUAAAUAAUGCAUCUAAGGGCCACGACCACCUGAGGCAGCGUGGGAUGCCUGGAGCGCUAAAUGAAACGGCCUAGGAAGAUGGCCUCUACCAAAAGUACUCCUGCCUCUAAAAGAGGCACCGCUGAACUCACCGGAAUGACGAGGUCUCUUGUCAGACCUCUGACCUCCCUGAGUAAGAACCAUUUCGACCCAUCUCACAACAUUAGCAGCCGCCUGAAAAGAAAAUUCACUCCCAGUCUCCUUAGCCAUCUGUAAUCUGAUAGGCUGAGCAAAUCCAUCAAUAAAUCUCCUCACCCCUUCUCUCUCACUGGGAAGCAGAAGAAUAGCAUGAUGGGCGAAAUCCACAAAACGGGUCUCAUACUGAGUAACAGUCAUACUGCCCUGCUGGAGACACUCAAACUAACGGCGACGCUCCUUUCUCAAUGUGGUAGGAAAAAACUUCUCUAUAAAGAGCUGAGAGAACUGGUCCCAAGUAAGAGCAGGCGACCCAUCCGGUCUGGUCAACAAGUAAUCUCUCCACCAUUUCUUGGCGGAACCAGUUAUCUGAAAUACAGCAAAAUCGACCCAAUUGGUCUCCACUAUACCCAUGUUUCGUAGGACCUCAUGACAGCUGUCAAAAUACUCCUGGGAUCCUCUGAAUGAGCACCACUGAAGUGAAUAGGAAAGAGCUUGAUAAACCUUUCCAAUCUCUAUAAAGCCUCAGAAGACAUAGCUGGCCUAUCUCCGACUUGUGCCGCAAUAACCGGCUAAACUAAUUCGAUUGGCUGAGCUGCUGGAGCCUGAUACUGGGGAGCUAUCUGCUCCGGAGCUGGAGUGGUGGGAGUCUGGGCUCCUCCUCCAGCCUGAGAAACUGUCGGUGCCAUAGAAAAUGUGCCAGUCUGGGCCACACUCUCCAUAAGGCCCACCAAACGGACCAAAGCGUCCUGAAGUACUGGGGUGGCAAUGAACCCCUCCGGAACAUGAGCUGGUCCGGUAGGAACAGUCUAGGCUGUAACCUCCUCGUCAAGCUCUAUCUGAGGCUCCACUAUUGAGGCUGCUGCUCGGGCUCUAGGUUAAGCCCUGCCCCUACCUCAGCCUCUGGCACGGCCUCGACCUCUGCCCCGUGUAGGAGUUGCUACUGGAGGCUCUGGCUGCUACUCAGCUGAGGAAGUGGUGCAUGUUCUCUCCAUCUACGAGAGAAUAAGAGUAUAAGAGUUCAAUCAGUAUUGAGAAAUCAAAAUCGCACGACAGAAAAGAAUAGAAGUGAGACUAGUUCCUAAACUUCAUAGCCUCUGGAAGAUAAGCACAAACGUCUCUGUACCGAUCCCCAGACUCUACUAAGCUUGCUCGUGAAUCGUGAGACCUAGGCAACCUAGGGCUCUGAUACCAACUGUCACAACCCUAAAUUUUCCACCGACGGGGCGUGAUAGCAUCUAACAUUUCACUUUCUAGGCAAGCCAACGUUAGAGAAUCAUUAAACCAAUUCCUUAUUUCAUUCAGUAAAUAACAAUAAUUAACUAAGAUAAAAUAUAAUAUGUAUGGAAUAUUAUAGAACUGUAUUAACUACUACCACUCGGAUCUAGAGUCACAAUUCACGAUCAUUCUAGAAUUUACUACAAGUAAUAGUCUGAAAGAAAUAUAACUGUUUGAAUGAAAGAAAACAGUAGGACAUAAAAGAUAGACGGGGACUUCAAGGUCUAUGAAUGCCGACAGAUCUACCUUGAGUCUCCGGAUAGCGGACCAAUAGCAAAAUCUCGAUCAACCUGAUCCGGUACCAAAAUCUACACAGAAAGUGCAAAGUGCAGCAUCAGUACAACUGACCCCAUGUACUGGUAAGUGCCGAGCCUAACAUCGGCGAAGUAGUAACAAGGAUAGGACAAGACACCCACAUAUAACCUAAACAGUAUAAUUAUACUAGUGGCAACAAUAAUAAAUAAAAAAAAUAAUGCAGAAAUAAUGGAAAGGGACAUACAGUGGGAGAAUACAAUAUAAAGGGUGAGAAUAAUAAAAAAACAGAAUUAAACCGAAAAUCCUUAAAAAAUUGAGCAAAUAAAACAGCAAAGGAAAAACUGUCGGCAUCACCCUUCGUGCUUUUACUCUCAACCUCACCAAACAAAUAAAUAGAAUGGCACGGCAUCACCCUUCGUGCUUUUACUCUCAAUCUCGCCAAAUAAAUAAAUAGAACGGCACGAUAUCACCCUUUGUGCAUUAAACCUCUCAUAAUAUACACGGCAUCACCUUUCGUGCUUUACACUCUUCAUCACAAUAUAAAUAAUGCAUGCACGGCAUCACCCUUCGUGCUUUACACUCUUCCUCACAAUAUAAAUAACGCAUGUACGGCAUCACCCUUCGUGCUUUACACUCCUCCUCACAAAUAACAGAAUCAAUAACAAUGGAUAGAUAGGAGUAUCAUAAAGAAACCAGUAUUUUACCCAUAAUUAAUAGCACAAUGAAACCUCAACCUUGAAUCAAUAUUCAAAAGUUAUCAAAUCUCAGUGAAACCAGAUAUAAGUCACCCAAAAUUUCAAAUAACCCGCUAAGGAUGGGUAGUAGAAUUUAAGGCUACAAAUUAGACAAGAAUAGAAUUUCACUCGCAUGCUAUGACUCGACAACGACGCAUAAAUGCUUGUCACCUCACCUAUACAUUGUAUUUAACAAUUAAACACGUAGCAAAUAAACACAUAAUACAUAUUCCCUCAAGCCAAAGUUAGACACGACACUUACCUCGCUCCGAAGGCCACUUAAUUAUCAAUCUCAGCUUUUCCUUUGGAAUUCACCUCCAAAUAUCUAUUCAAAAAUGACUCAAUAAUUUCAAAUAUUGCUAAAGAAAUCAAUUAUAUUGCAUAAAUUAAAUUUCCCAAAUUUUCCUCCAAAAAGUCAAAAAAAUCGACCCCGGGCCCGUCUGGUUAAAACUCGAGGUUCGGACCAAAAUUCAUUUACCCAUUCACCCCCGAGCCCGAAUGUAUGAUUGGUUUUGGAAUCCGACCUCAAAUUAAGGUUUAAAUCCCCAAAUUUUCGAAAUUUCUAGUUUCCACCCUAACCCCUAAUUCUACCAUGAAAACUCUAGAUUUUAGGUUGAUAAUUCAAGAAAUGUAAUGGGCAAUAGAAAGAAAAUAGUUUAGAAUCACUUACCAACACUUUGGAAAAGCAAAUGUCUCUUGAAAAUCGUCUAUACCCGUUUGGUUCUUGAAAAAUGUUGAAGAAAUGGCUCAAACCCGUGUUUGAUUCUGUUUUAUGCGCUGGGCGACAGUGUGCAUCGCGUUUGCGAGGCCACUGUCGCGUUCACGAAGGGUACUGGCUGCCAAGCCUUCGCGUUCGCGAGACCCUUCUCGCGUUCGUGAUGGUUACUCCCCCUGGCCUUCGCGUUCGCGAGCCAUUGCUCGCGUUCGUGAUGAAGGAACGACCAACCCUCCCCAGGUCCCCAAGUGCUUCGCGUUCGCGAAGGGUAAAUCCCCCAUCACUUUGCGUUCGCGAAGAAGAAGUCUCAACAUUACCAGUUUACUCCUCGCGUUCGCGAGAGGACCUUCACGAACGCGAGGAAGGAUAUGCCAGACACUAAAAUCUGCAGAAAACCAGAUAUUUUCCAAUUUCAAAAUAUCUCGUGGCCUAUCCGAAACUCACCCGAGCCCUCGGGGCUCCAAACCAAACAUGCACACAAGUCUAAAAAUAUCAUACGGACCUGCUCGCGCGAUCAAAUUGCCAAAAUAACACCUAGAACUCCGAAUUUAGCACCAAAUCCAAUGAAAUUCUCAAGAACACUUUAAAAUUUCUAUCUUCUCAACUGGAUGUCCGAAUCACGCCAAAUCAACUCCGUUUCUCACCAAAUUUCACAGACGAGUCUUAAAUAUCAUAAUGAACCUGUACUAGGUUUCGGAACCAGAAUACGGACCCGGCACUAACAAUGCCAAACAUCAAUCAAUUCUUAAAAAUAAUUAAUUUUCAGACUUUUAAUUUUCAUCAACAAUUCAUAACUUGAGCUAGAGACCUCCGAAUUCGAUUUCGGGCAUACGCCCAAGUCCCAUAAUUCGAUAUGGACCCACCUGGACCGUCAAAAUAAGGAUCCGGAUCCAUUUACCAAAAUUGUUGACCGGAGUCAUCUAAAAUCAACUUUUUAAGGCAUAAAUUCUUAUUUUUAACAUAAAAACUUUUCAGAAUUCUGCCCGAAUUACGCACACAAAUCAAGAAAGGUAAAAAUAAGAUUUUUAAGACUUAAGAGUGCAAAUUCAUGUUCUAAAACAUAAUAUGACCCUUUGGGUUAUCAUAACUUUUAUCCUCGAAAAUAUAACUCGGGCAGCAGAGGAGAAGAAAAUCACACAAAACUUCUAAAAAUUAUACGGAAAUCAAAGAAAUCACAAAUUUUUGGCGAAAUCAGAAACCUCCGACGAAGAUGAAAAACUCAACGAAAUCAAACGAGGGUAACAUCACUAGAUAGAGAAUGACGAGAAUCAUCAGAUUCCUCGCUCUGAUACCAUGUUAGCAUACAGAAUUGAAAGAGAAAUUGGCAAAUUACAUUUGGGGCUUGAAGGAACAGGAAAAACUAGAAGAUAUUCCGAGAUAUUUCUUAUUGAAAAGGAAAAACUACAAAAUUGAACAGGAAGAUAUUUCUUAUUCUGUAAUUGAUAAAAAUGCCAAAAGUCUCUAGAAUAUUCCGUCUCUAUCCCUAUAUAUACAUUGGGCCUCUUUUUCCCAAAUCAGAUAACUAAGCUACUCAUAAAUAAACUGGGCUAGGCCCAAUACAAAACAAAUUAACACCAGCAGCCCUUAUUCCUUCAUGUAAUCCAAACACAAAACAAAACAUAAUUUGAAGGAGAAAAAUAAUAAGAGAUUUUCAAAUAUUAAGGAAAAAAAUAUUUGGGUAAAAGAGAUAAUGUUAAAAAAAUCGAUUAUUAUAAACAAAAUGUUGUUAGUUUCUGUUGUGGUUCCAAGUGAAAAACAACGAUAGGACCGGUUUUGUUUUCCUAAAAUAUUUUUAGUUUGAUAUCCAAAAACUAACUCAUUUGAAAUGCAAGUAAUGGAGUCACUUUUUUAAAUAAAAAAAAAACAAAUCCAAAAUUAUUUUUUUCGGUUUGGUUUUUUAUUUUUAGAAAUCACAUUUUGUUUACUUUAUCCAAUUAUAUUUACACAAUUGUUAGCCCAUUAUUUUGUUUAGCAAAUGUUAAUAUUUGAGAACCAGACAACAAUUUUUGGAAUAAACAUGCAGAUCGACCAAAUUAAUAAUCCUGAAACAUUGAUCAACUUAUAUACAUUUCAAAAUUUUAAUUAAGUUGAUUCGCAAAAGAGUUCAUAAAGAGAAGACACAAACUAUCUUUAGGUUGAAAAGUUGAAUUAGAUAAAGGACUUGUCUGUCCUAGAAACUUGAAUUAAAAUUGGAGAUACUUUUAUUUGGAUCAAAAUAAUCAGGUGUCAUGCGGAAGUUAGUAAAGCAAUAUGAACAAUGAUAAAUCAGACAACAAAAGGAAAUAUACCAAAAGAGACACAAACAUUUAACGUGGUUCGGUCAAUUGACCUACGUCCACAACGGAGAUGAGCAAUCCACUAUAUAAAAGAGAGUACAAAAUAUCGAGAGAACAACCUCACGAACAGGCAAAUUCAAGUGACACACUAACACUUGUCCCGUAAAGUUCUCCCCUCUAAACACGACUCUCAAAUCCCAUAUGGCUACAUUGUGGAUGAUGCUGAAUGAGAAGCAAGGAUCCUCUAUUUAUAGAAGUCCAAAUCUUUUCCUAUAAGAAAAAGGACUAGCCAAAAUAUGGGAGAUUCAUAAUUUUUUUUCAAGCAAAGAAAAACUCAAUUAUGGUAAAUAUAUUGUCCUUUCCUUCAACAGAUAGGAAAACCAAAUAUGGUAAGAAAAUCAGGACAAAUGUCUAACAAAUUUAACGUGCCCAAAAUAAAUAUCAAGGGAGUUUUAGCUCUAGUUUGUCAACUCUUACUUGCGUAUGGGUAAAAUUAUAGGCAAUGUCUACCCCGAUUUUCCGAUGAGAAAAUGGAGGGAGAGCACGAAUCCACGAGAUUGUAAUCGAGGUUAGAGACCCUUCGUAUCGAGACCCAAGAAGAGUAAACGAUGUGUCCGCCAUCGGAUUGGUAAAGUGACGCGCCCUGGGCCAAGUAUAAGUUCUAAGACCUCGGGAGAUACGGUGAACAGUUGUGCAUAACGGAUAGAGAUCCGUGAAACUCGCCCUCAACCAAAUAUCACGGCGCGUAUCUUGCUCGAUAUCGAUUAUGGAUCAGUAAUUACUGAAAAAGAUGAUUUUUACUUUUUUUAGACUUUUACUAGGACUAAAAUUCCCCUACUAAAUAAAGGGAGAAUUUUUUUUUAGUCUGACACAUUGUAACAUGCAAUUCCAAGCAAUAAAAAUUUAUUUUUACUUUCUAGAUAUUGUCAAGAACUCUGCUCACUUGUACUGUUCUUCAUUCAUGAUUGGGCUCGAACCGAGGGUCCAUUUGAAGGACGAGGUAGCUGUUCAAUUUAAGAUCAAGCUUGGUCAUAACAUUGCGAUUGGUUUGAUCGUUUAUGUCCUCUUUAAUUUAUUUAUCUACUAUUCUUAAUUAUUCGUGUUGAAUUAAAUCAUGUAUCAUUUAAACCACAAACAAAUUUAAUUGUCAAGUAAUUUUGGGGUAAAUAAUUUGGCGCCCACCAUAGGGAUAAGGAUAAUAGUUGUGAUUUGAUAUGAAUCUCCAUAACACACCCUAACAUACUCUCAAUCUUAUCACUUGAACGUUGACGCUGAGUCUGUCCAUCACAACAAAAAUAAUAAUUUGGUGCCCAGCAAUGAUGUGCUUCCUGCCGAUCCCAGCAUUGUCCCAGCUACCGACCCGGUCGAUGUUAACUCACAGGUGGUCAUCAACAUCAAUUUGCCAAUUGAUCCUGAAAAUAGUGUUCGUGGGGGACCCCGACCAACAACUCGAGAAGCACCCGAAGGCAAGGUGAUUGGGUAAGCCUACGACUGAUUUUCGAAAUGCGGCAAGCUCAAUAAGUGAAAAUAGCAUAGAUGCAUAAUCAAAGCUACGUCCCCAAUAGGGUCGAGCUCAAACAAUCCGGGGAAAGCACCAGAAGAGACGAAAAUAUUACCGAGAGACCGGGUGAAGCCAAACCGUCUGAAUCCUCAGAGUCUUCGGGACUCUCAAGCUCAUAGAGUUCCUUCGCCUCGGCCUUAAGUCUCUUGGCUUCUUCAAUCUCGGCCGACAAGUCAAAACCUCGGGCAUGAACCUCCUCGAAGGUCUCUCUUCAGGAUAGCCGUUUUACGUACUCAAUAUUCGUCUUUAAGCGGGCCUCGGCUCUCUUCACAUAGGUCGUAUACUGGGCCAGCAUUUCCUCAAUUUUGGAGGAAUCAAUAGAAGUUGCCUCCAGCCUGGACCUCAGCGCGGCAUAUUCCUGGCUGAGGGAAUCCGUUUCCCUAACAGCUGAGUUCAACUGUGCUUGGAGUUCAUCGUUUAGCCGAGACCACUUGUCGUCCUUGUCCUUUGCCACCCGGAGAUGGUCCUUGACCGAUGCCAGCUCCACUUUUGCAGCCUUUUUUUCUGAAACCCAUAGGUCCAUCCUGCCCUUCCACACCUCGGUCGUGGCCUUGACCUCGUCCAUCUCAGCCCGAAGCUGGUCGAUCAGGUCUACCUUCUCUUGGACCUGCGAAGUUACGUUGUUAGUCACCACGAGUAGCUUCUCAUUUUUAGCCUCAAAGAUCCUUACCUUCUCAGCCAGGUCGGCGUUCUCCCGAUUGAUGGAUAAGGCUUGCUUUUGAGCCUUUUCCAGCUCGGCUCGGAGAAUUGGGAGGUCCUUGAGGGCCUCGUCUUGUUGCUCACUGAGAGCCCUGUACAUGUCCUUCUUUCAGACAUGCUCUUUGAGCUCGAACUUGAGCUGGCUAAUCUCCAAGCGGGAUCGAAGAAAGACUUCAUGGUAAAGCACUGAAGCUGGCUGAUCUCGGGGUAAGGAACAACUUCACUAGUUUCGAGCUCGAGCUCAGUUUGCUCACUUCCGAUGGCACAUCAUUUUUUGGGGCUUUCAGGUGACCAAGCUCGGAAAAGUCCUCUAACACGGCCAUGUCUAUGCCAUCGAAGAACGUGUUGAGGGCAUCAUUUGGGCUCGACACCGUCUCGUUUGAUUUCUCUUUACCUUCUUGAGCCUCUUUGAGCAUGGUCUCGGUAUAGGACGACAUCUCCGUUAUGUAAAUGACACCAGCUACCUAAUUCAGGACAUGAGCGGCUUCUCGGGUGGCGGCGACCUCCGUCUCUCCCUCUAGCUUCUGAGCUAGGGGGAUCGACCUUGUGGUCACCUUCCCCGACUGCCGUGUGCUCCCCCUCGUUGAGGGUCGACUAAUGAGCAAUAAACUCAAGGUCGUCGUCCUCAAGAUAAUCCGUGAGCCGGUAGAGGGAAUCAGAGUCCGGUACCUUGGACUUGGAGCUCUUUUUGCAUUUUUGGACCUGGGUGGUCACCCUCUUCUUCUUUAACUCGGCGUCCGGGGAGCCUUAAGACUUCUUCUUCUUUUUCUCCUCCUUUGUGGUAGCCCCAGGCGGUCCGGAAAUGGAAGGCUCGGCAAGUGAGGACGAGUCCUCGUCAACAGGCCUAAGCUUAGUGGUCUUAGGCAAACUUGUAGGAAGAAAGAAGACUUAGAGAUGUAUAAGUCAAGAAUAUGAAGGUACUAGUUGGGAAAAAGCCUUACCAUGGGAAUGGGCCUCCCCUUUCCCCUUCAAGAACUUGCGCCAAGCGCACUCGGAGUAUAGCAUCUAUUUGUAGAUCCCCUCGAUCCACUCCUUAAAUCGGGGGACUGCAUUGGGAACUUGGGAUACCGCUGCACAACGACAAACACAGGCAAUUAGAAAAAUAAGCUCAAGAAGGAAAAGACUUACGGGAGGCGUUCCACUUCUCCGGGAAAGGUAGAAAUUCGGAAGGGAUGAGGUCUUUGAUUUUCACCCAAACAAACCUCCCCUACCAACCUCGACCUCGAUCCUCGUCGAUGCUCGAGAACGGAGCCUUGCUUGCCCGGCAGACGAGCUUGAUCAACCCUUCAUGGAAGAUUCGGGGACUAUAUAGAUGAAGCAGAUGGUCGAGGGUGAACCGAGGUGCUUCGGUGUUGUUCAUGAAAUGUCGUAGGAGGAUUACAAUCCUCCAAAAUGACAGAUAAAUCUGCACAAGGCAGACCUCGUACGUUUUACAAAAGUCGAGGAGUACGGGGUCCAUCGGGGCGAUCGUGAAGGGGUAAGUGUAAACAUUUAAGUACCUCUUCACGUGAGUGGUGAUGUCGUCGUUGGGCAUGGGGACGACCACCUCCUUGCCCUUCCAGUUACAGUCUACCGGGACUGUGGUCAAUGUUUUCUCAGUAAAGGAGCAUAUGUACCUCCAUGCUCUCUCACAUCGGUCCUGUUGACUGGAGGCCUUCUCGAUAUUGAAAUCAUUCUCGAUAGAGCAGCCUCCAGGUACGAAGCUCCUUAAGGGAGGCUCCUGGGCCACCUCAGGAACGGUCACCUCGACGUCUAUGGACGGGUUGGAAGAUGAAGGAGCGACUUGUUGAGGCACAUACUUGAAAGUUUUUUCCAUCGGGAUAUGAAAAAUAUAAAGCUUUGAAGAAAUAAUAUAAAGGUUUGAAGGAAAGAUAUGAAGCUUUCAAGAUGUGAUGAGGAUAUGAAGGUCUGGGUUGAAGAUUCAAAGAAAAUGUAUGAAGGUUGAGGAUGAGGAUAUGAAGGCCAAAGGAGCAAUAUAUGAAGAUUUGAAGGAGUUAAAAGGCAAGUAGAGAAUUCGAGGGUAAGUCUAAGAGUUUUGGAAUCGAAAAGUAGAGAAGUAUAAAAGGGUAAGAGCUUUUAUAGAGGAAGGACAAUCAAUGCGUUACGUUUCACAUUCUAGGGCAGUCAACCAACGGCUGACAUGUGUCCGAAGUCAGAACGAUGCGACUGAUGGAACGUUUCGUUAACCCGUCAUAUCAGUUGUAACGUACGAAUGAAGGAAUCGGGGUCCAUCUAUCGCUUCCCGUCAUUUCGGUAAACCUACUCUCCGAAAAAUGAGGGGACUAUCUGUGUACGGGUAAAAUCGGUGGUAAUGUCUACCCCGAUUUCCCGAUGAGAAAACAGAGGGAGAGCACGGAUCUACGAGAUUAUAAUCGAGGUUAGAGGCCCUUUGUAUCUAGACCCAUGAAGAGUGAACGAUGUGUCCGUCAUCUGGUAUGGUAAAUCCAUGCGCCUCUGGCUAAGUAUAAGUUCGAAGACCUCGGGAGACAUGGUGAACGAUUGUGCAUGACCGAUAGAGGGCCGUGAUACUCGCCCUCAACCGGAUAUCACGGCGCGUAUCUCGCUCGAUGUCGAUUAAGGAUUAGUAAUUAUCGAAAAAAGAAGUGUUUUACCUUUUUUAGACUUUCACUAGGAUUGAAACUCUCCUACAUUUUAACACGCAAUUCCAGACAAUAAAAGUUUAUUUUUACUUUCUAGCUAUUGUCAAGAACUCUGCUCACAUGUAUUGUUCUUCAUUCACGACUGGGCUCGAACCGAAGGUCCAAUCGAAGACGAGGUCGCUGUUCAGUUUAAGAUCAGGCUUGACCAUAACAUUGCGAUUGGUUUAAUCAUUUAUUUUGUCUGUAAUUCAUUUAUCUGAUAUUCUUAAUUAUUCGUGUUGAAUUAAAUCACGUAUCUUUUAAACCACGUACAAAUUUAAUUUUUACCUAAUUUUAGGGUAAACACUAGUGACUAUAAACUACUACAAAAGACUUAUUUUCGUUCCUUCUUGGUAUAUACUAUAUGUUGUCACCUUUGGUAUCAAAAUUGGAUUUCAAGGUAAAGCAACGUGUUUCUCGACGGACACGAACAUGUUGCCUUUUUGGUUCAAUUCCAUUAUCAUUGCUCAAAAUUCGUGUUUUAUGGUGGUCUCGUCCUGAAUAAUGAUGGCUGCUCAGCAUUUUAGAUGGUAGUCGCGCUUCAUUGAUUUGAUAUACCUGUAUGGCAAAAUAGUUAAAAGAAAAUAGUUAUCCAUCUAUAUAAUUUAUUAAAAAAUAGGUUGAAUAAUAAACUUUUUAAAAAUGGGUCAAAUAUGAAUAAAAAUCAUAUUAUUCACUUAGAAAAUAGAUAACUAAUGAGUUUAACUUUUAUAUUUGUAAAGUCUCAAAUUGGGGACUCCUCAAGUUUGAGAUAUUAUGAAUUCUCCCAAAAGUGAUCAUAUUCAAGAAGUCAUGGAUAAUAUGGAUAUCCAUAUUAUUCAUCAGUUAAUCCGUAUUAAAUAUGAGUCGGAUCGGAUAAUUUAUCCGAUUUUUACAUUACCCAUUUUUGACCGGACCAUAUCCAACCCGACCCGCCUGUUUGUCACCCCUGCCUGCGCAUAUCAACAAGUAAACCAAGGUUAAUUUGAUUGGAAUACUAGUUUUGAUCCAAGUUGUAUUCGUUAAUUAAAUUAUUUUUGUUUAGCAUAUAGGAUACAAAAUUUAUUGCUUGCAGAUUUUCGUUAUUCACCUUUGGGGAGUUCUUUUUUCAAUUGUUCUACAUCUAUAUAUAUGAAAGGCAGGAAGGUCCAAUGUGAGAUUUUUUAUCGAGUGAGAAUCUACUUGCAAUAUUUAGCACCUUCAUAGAAAUUAGUUAUUUUAAAAAACUACAAUUUCAGUUAUGUUCGUUUUUUGUAGUUAAAAAUAUCUUAAAAUGUUUUGAAAGAUCAUAAUGAAAAAUAAAGAAAGGGAAAAAGAGGUUUGUAAUUUUUGUUCCAAUCCAUAUGUUUCGUUGUCUACUCCAUUUGAUCUCACCAAAUCUUUGGGCGAAUGUUUACCUGUAAAACGGUAAAGUUGAAUUUGUUCGUAAUUUUUAGACAAGUGAAUUAAUUUGAUCCAAAAAAUAAUGAAAUAACUGAUGAAAUAUAAAAUAUUUAGCCUUAAAAUGUAGAUGAAACGACAGAGCGGAUGAGUCCGAGAACAGGGUUUCCGGGCACAAUAAUAAUGAGAUCAAAAACAAGAAAGUAAAUAAUAUUAAGCUCUGUAUAGAGUGUAGUAUAACUUUGCUAGAAAAUUCGUGUCCUUUACAAUGAAAACUACGCUCUCUAUUUAUAGUUAUGUCUAGGGAAGGAGGUCCUAGGAUCAUGCCCUUCUUUAAUGUCAAUUAUGAGGGCCAGAUGAAGAUGUAACGGUAGACAUAAAUAUCAAAUUUCCUGUAACGGGUCAUCAUCCUUAAUGCUACAAAGCAUUUAAUACUCCUUUUAUGAUCGUUAUUCCUUCCGGUGACAAGCGGAAUAGCUAUGUUUGGCGGCUAUCUUCAUCUUGGGUUCCACGUGUCCUUCCUUUAAGUGGCCACGUAUCAUGUCGUAUUUUUUCCUAUGCAGAUAGUCCCCCUGCUUUCCGGUGACACAAUCUUGUGUUAUCGGAAAGUUGGUAGAAAUACUUCUUUUGGCGGGAAUUACUAUAACUCCCUCUGCAGUCUUCUGACGGUUAAUUUGACGCACGUCUCUCCGCACUUAAUGCUCUGAACACGUGUCAACCCAUAAUUUAGCAUAGCUUUUGCCGUUUAUCGAGGUAAUCAAGGCCAUGAAUUUAGCCGCCAAAACUUUACUUAUACGCAUCAUCCUCCUCUUAUGUACUUCAUAAUUUCUCAAUUUUCUAACUUGCAUCUUUAUUUCCCAACUUUUCUCUAAUCCUCUUCGAACCAGAAAUUUUCCUUCCUUCUAUUCCAAUGGCUUCCUCUUCAAAAUGUGCUAGUUCUUCAAAGGGCAAGAACAAAGCUGAGGACUCUGCGACGGUGGGUUCCAUCAUCCCAAGGAAGUUUAACACUACAAAGGAUUUUGAAAAAAAAUUUCCUACUACUAAUUCUCGUACAUGUGCUGUUAGUAGGUAUCUUUCUUCCAUCCGUCCUUCCAAUAUUCCAACUAUGAACGAAGAUUGCCGCUGUCAUGAAUUGGACAUCAUUGCUCCUAGCCUAUAGGAGCGAGUGACCCUUCUCACGGAAGGAUUUACAUAUUUUUAUACUUAUACCUUUACUUUGGGUGCGUUUUCUUUGAGCGGAUAGCUUGAUCCCGUGAUUGCGUAAUUUUGCCUUCGCUACCAAGUGUGUUUGGCACAGGUAAGCCCUUCAGUAUGGAGGAUGGUUUCCUGCCUUCGACGCCUGUGCCAGAAAACUGAGAAAAAGCUAUCAUUAGCUUGUAUAAUGAACCUUUAUUCCCCCAAGAUUUUUCGAGGAUGUAUGAUAAACCUCUACAAACAUGACUACCAUGCUCUGUUGACUAGCAUGGAUGAUGACAACGACCAUGGGUAGAUAGAAUGGUUCAUUGCAACUGCCACCAAUAAUAUUAUUCCGUCAGCGGCAUCAUCCUCUCCAAGUGCUUGGAAUCGUACUCGUAAGAUUUCCUUUAAAUAUAUUUUCUCUUAAUAAAAAUUCUUUCAUGCAUGUAUUGAUCCUUCAACCUUCUAUGUUACAGCAACUCAAUAGAUCCCACCGGUGGGUUCAAAAGAUCUUGGACGUUACGACGUCCGAGACUCGCUUAUGGAAAAAACUGGCCCUUAAGUACGAGUUGAGGGCUAAAAGUCAUGGUAACUUUAAUUUACCUUAUUUUUGUUUUAUAUGUGAAGAAGUUGGUUGAACCCUCCUAACUUUGUUCAUGACAUUAGGUCUACUUGUGGGCUCAGUUGAUGUCCCGGGGGAGGAUUCUUUGGCUGACCCUGCUGAUGCGGCGGGGCUGCUUUAGGAGAAACUUACUCGAACAUGCAUCUCCCAGACUGCUUCGGGCACAAACGUUUCUUCACGGAGUCACCGGCCAGAGAACAAGCAACCAAAGAGAAGACGUUCCUCUAUGGCCGAGGAAAAGAAUAAGAGGGCAAAGACUGGUACCCACAAAUUAUCUCCGGUGGCGAAUGUGACUGGUUCCCCUUCCGGGCUGGUCAUAGACACUGUGAUGAUUGAUGACAAUGAAGAAGCUAGUGAUGAGAGAGCUUCUCUACACAGAAGGCGACGAUCCUCAUCGUCUCAACAAGAUGCUCGACCUGUUGAGGCAGUUUCACCAAUCGAGGACGAUUUCUCGGCAUUGUGGGGAGAGUUUGACUUGGUAGAUAAUGCCAAUUACUGUUUUCGAGCCCCAGUUGUUGUGUCCGGUACUACAGGGCUGAGUAUCGGAUCCCUGCCAUCUUUGGUUGGAGAGUAUCCUCCCACCAGCACUGCAUUUGAUGCUGCUGCUUCUCAUCCUUCGGCUCCAUCGGCUUCAUCUCCGUCUUCACCAUCACCAGCAAGUGCUACAUCAUUUCCAUCUUCAUCCAUUCCUCCACUAGCAAUUGCUACAUCAUCUCCACCGGCCUCAUCCAACCACGGAGAGGGUACUCCUCUUCCCCAAUCCCAGUUCAUGGGAAUUUGGGGCAAAAUUAUGCUGCCCCUUCUGAGGAUCCACAGAGGAGGAUGAGUGUUACCCUUUCGGUCUCCACCGGGUACAACCUGCUCUCGAGGUCGGUGGAGCUUGCUAACUAUCCGAAGCCAUUGGCUUCAGAGAAAGACUAGGAAAAUAUCCAAGCACUUUUGGGAGAGUGUUUGUUGAACAAUGCCAUGCAUAAUACCGCAGUGGUGCGCCCCUUUCAACCUUUGCUAUUUCUUUGACUUUUGCAUGAAUUUGUACUAAAUUUUAUUUAUCUUAUUUUUUAGGCCAACUUUCUUGCUUCCGAGGGCCUACAGAGGUUGAUUCGUGAGAAAGAGGAACUUACUUCUAAACAGAAUCAGCCUUUGGAGAAACGUGACCAAACUAUUCUCCGCCUCUUGGAACUGGAAACCAAAGCUACUGAGGCAGUUAUUUUGGAGGCUCGCUUGCAGCAAAGAGAGCAAGAAGUGAUAACCCUUAGCUAAGAGAUUGGCCCGCUGACGGUUAGAUUUGAUGAAGACAAGUCCAAAUGGGCUGAAGUCCAGAACGCCAUUCUUGCUGCAACCGAGCGCGAGGCUGCCAUUGCCGAAAAAGUGUCUGAAUUAGAAGUAGCCUUGAACUCCAAAAUAUAAGAUCUUGAUACUAUGGAGGCAAAGCAUGCCAGUUGGAAGAGAGGUACAGAAAAACUAUCGAGCAUAAUAGGCUCUUUAGUUCAACUGUCCUCGACCUUGAUGUUAGCCUCCAAUCUGUUAGGUCCGCCCGGGAUAGGCUCUCUGAUGAAGAAACCCAACUCAAAGAGAAAGUCAAGCGUCGAGAGGCUUCCCUCAUUUUUUGAAAAAACUUAUGCCAUGUAUAGCAUGACAAAACCUUGGAAGAGGCCAAAUCAGGCAUCAUUGACUUUGAUGCCGAAAUUGCUAGGGCCCGAGAGCUUGAGUUGGCUACUAAAAAUGGACUCCCAAUGCAGUCUGAUGCUUCUGGUUCCGGUUCCGAGUUUUCAGGGACUGGAGAGGAGUCGGAAGAUGAUGAUGCUGAAGACCAAACCAGGAAAAUUGUUGAGCCAUCGGUGAGCCCACCUGCUUCUCCCGGGGAUGCGGACGCUUCUCUUCCUACUGGUUCCGGAGAUGCUGCAAUUUAGCUUUUUUUUUCUUUUUUCUUAUCUUGUACUUUUUGCACGCAUUUGUAAAUAAAAAUUUUCUUCUGCUUAAUUAUUUUUUGAGUCUUACUUUCAUCUUAUUUUCGUUAUGCUUCUGUUUGAACAUCCAUGCAAAUAUUCAACUUUUGUGUUUGCGUAAGAAUUUUGUGCUCGUUUUCAUUUUGCGCUUUGCUAUGUGUAGUCUCGGAUGCAAAGCAUUAUCCCUUUUACAUGAGGGUUUUUAUAAGUAUUUUCACAAAUUUACCUUUUGCGUCCUUUCUUAUACGUCCUUCGGGUGCAUUUUCCCCAAAAGCGCUUUGAUUUCAUGCACAGACUCUUUCUAAACCAACCCUUUAACAUGAGAGAUUUCAUAAGAUAGGGCUCUCUUAUGUUUACGGUGCUCUUGAAGAGGACGUCUCAUGUUUAUUAUGGUACUAACAUUUGAAGUACUUGUUUAACUUUUAAAUAGCAAAAUUAAUUCAUCGUUCAGACAAGAAACAAGAUAAAAACAAAAGGAUUUUAUGUCUUUUAAUUCCUUCUAUUUUCAAAAGUACAUAAGCAUUUGAUAUGCUGAAAAAAAAUUGCCAUUACUUGUGGCUAUCUUGUACAACUUAUUUCUACGGGGUUGAUUGUGCAGUCUCCGAUCCCGAUGAUGUAUUCUGGUUUUGGAUAUUCGUUCCCCGGUUGACGUGGCAUUCAGUGUUGCCGUAUCCUCAUAUCAUUCCUCCCCCUAGUGUUCGAAUGCAAAGAAUGUGAAUUGGAACACUGGAAGUCUUGCGUCUUCAAAGAUCCCACCAAUGAAUUGCUAGACAAACCUUAACUCGGCAACAAACCUUACUUCCCCUUAGGAAUUCAUGCUAUCGAGUGAAGGAUUAUCUAACAAUCCUCUAGUGGUUUGUUCUCAUGAACGGUCGGGUAACCUUUGUCCUAUAGCAAACUUAACUUCCCAGUGGGAAUUUGCUAUAGAGCCAAAGAUUACCUAACCGUCCCCAAGUGAAGCCUUGCCAUCGAAGAUCUUAUUAUUGUUGUCUUCGCAAUAUGCUUUCUAUCGCUGCCUCAUUAAAAACCUUGCCAAAAAACCCAAUUAGGACAAAAAUUUAACGAAGGAAAAAAGAGUGCAGCAUAUACUUUUCGCUUGGGUAACGUUCAUCAACAGUAAUAUCUUUUGAGGUGUGGCACGUUCCAGUUGCUAGGUAACUUAUCUCCGUUCUGGUUCUCCAACUCGUACGAGCCUUUUCGAGUGAUAGCUGAAAUCCGAUAGGGACCUUCCCACGUUGGGACCAACUUCCCGCAUUAAACUCCCGGGUAUUUUGAGUUAGUUUCCUCAGAACUAAAUCUCCCCCUUUGAAAUAAUGGAAAUUAGCUCUUUGAUUAUAGUAUCACUCCAUUCUCUGCUUUUGAGCCUCCAUUCUUACAUGCGCCAAGUCCCUGCGUUCCUCGAGCAGUUCCAAGUUGAUUAACAUUACUUCGUUGUUAGAUUCUUCUUCCGCCUGGAAAUACCUUAAGGUUGGUUCCUCUACUUCCACCGGUAUCAAAGCUUCUACGCCGUACAGAAGGGAAAAAGGGGUUUCUCCUGUUCUUGACUUGGCCGUUGUUCGGUAGGCCCAUAGAAUCCUAGGUAAUUCUUCGGGCCAAUUGCCUUUUGCUGCUUCCAACCUUUUCUUGAGAUUUUGAAUAAUCACUUUGUUUGUUGACCAUGUUUGACCAUUUGCGCUCAGAUGAUAGGGUGAAGAGGUGAUCCUCUUUAUCUUCAAAUCUUCAAGGAACUUUGUAGCUUUUGCACGAAAUGCGGCCCAUUGUCGCAUACAAUCUCUUUUGGUAUUCCAAACCUGCAAAUUAUAUUUUCCCACAAGAAGUUGAUCACCUCGCGUUCUCCGAUCUUCUAAUAAGGACCUGUUUCCACCCAUUUAGAAAAAUAGUCAGUCAAAAUAAAAAGAAACCUUACCUUUCCAGGAGCCGGUGGUAGCGGUCCGACGAUGUCCAUCCCCUAUUUCAUGAACAUCCACAGGGACAAAAUUGAAUGUAGUGGUUCUGUCAGUUGAUGUACUAGUGGUGCAUAGCGUUGGCACUUAUCACAUUUUUGUACGAAAUUUUUGGCAUCUUGUUCCAUACGGGGCUAGUAAUAUCCUGCCCGAACUAAUUUCAGCACCAAAGAAUCUGUACCCGAGUGAUUGCCGCAUAUCCCUUCAUGGACUUCUCUCAUGACAUAGCUAGCUUCUGAUGCUCCUAAACACCGGGCCAAUGGGCCUUGAAAGGAUUUUCUGUACAAUGGGCCUUUCUUGAACCUAUAACGUGCAGCUUUGGCACGUAACGCUCUUGAUGCUUUGGGGUCUUCGAGCAACUUUCCAUGCUCGAGAUAGUCGAUUAUUUUGUUUCUCCAGUCCCAGACCAAACUAUUCGAAUUCACCUCAUAGUAACUAUUUGUGUCCAAGAUUGAGUUCAUCAGUUGUACUAUUGUCCAUGAUUCUGAUCCCUGUAUUUAUGUCGAUGAGCCCAAAAUUGCCAAUGCAUCUGCUUUCGCGUUUUCUUCCCUCGGGAUAUGAGUAAUUGACCACUCCCAGAAUCGUUCCAAUAAAGUCUAAACUUUUACCGCGUAUUGUUUCAUACGUUCCUCUUUGGUGUCAAAAAUUCUGUAGACCUGAUUUACCACCAACUGCGAAUCAUAUUUGAUUUCGAUGACUUCGGAAUCAAGCUCCCGGGCCAAUUCGAGCCUUGCAAUCAAAGCUUUGUACUCUGCUUAAUUGUUAGUUAAAGGAAUCAUUCUGAUGGCUUGCCUUAAGGUUUCUCCCAAAGGCGUGAUCAAGACUAUUCCGAGCCCAGACCCUUUUAUGUUUGAGUCUUCAUCCGUAAAUAAGGUCCAAACUCUCGAUGUUGUAUCUGACACCAUUAUUGCCUCCUUGGCUGCUAGAGGCAAUAGUCCCGGAAUGAAAUUGUCCACGAAGUCAGCUAAGACUUGUGACUUAAUUGCAGUACUCGGUUUAUACUCUAGAUCGAACUCGCUCAUUUCGACGGCCCAUUUGGCCAAUCUACCCAAGAGCUCGGGUUUAUAGAGGAUAUUUCUUAAAGGGAAAGUAGUCACCACACCUAUCGGGUAGCAUUAGAAGUAGGACCUCAACUUUCGAACGGCGACUACGAGAGCUAAGGCCAACUUUUCCAGAUGUGAGUACAGAGUUUCUGCUCCCGUUAAAAUUUUGCUUACGUAAUAAAUGGGAGAUUGCAUUCUUUCAUACUCUCGGACUAAAAUUGUACUUAUCGCAACUUCUGAGACCGCGAGGUAGACUAGCAAUGUUUUACCUUCUUUUGGUUUUGAGAGCAACGGGGGGCUUCACUAAUAUUUCUUCAACUCCUUCAAGGCUUGUUGACACUCCUAUGUCCAUUCGAAAUUGUUUUUCUUUUUGAGUAGUGCGAAGAAGCGAUGACAUUUUUUCGAUGAUCGGGAAAUGAACCUGCUCAAACCUACCAAUCUCCCUGUGAGCCUCUGGACUUCUUUUACGUUAGACAAUUUAUCCGGGAUGUCCUCUAUGUCCUUGAUUUUGUCGGGAUUUACCUCAAUUCCCCCUUGUGAGACUAGGAAUCCUAGGAACUUACCCGAACUAACCCCGAACGCACAUUUCUCGGGGUUAAGUUUCAUAUUAUGCUCCCUCAGGAUGUCGAAUGUUUCUUGCAAAUACUUCAGGUGGUCACCUGCAUUCAAAGACAUAAGGAGCAUAUCAUCUAUAUAUACUCCAUAGUCUUUCCUAUUUGUUUUUCAAACAUCUUACUCACGAGUCGUUGAUAAGUGGCUCCAACAUUUUUUUAACCCGAAAGGCAUCACAUUGUAACAAUACGUACUAAAAUUCGUUAUAAACGAAGUCUUUUCCUGGUCUUCUAGGUUCAUCUUGAUAUGAUUGUACCCAGAAAAUGCAUCGAGGAAACUCAUUAACUCGUGCCCGCCGUGGCAUCAAUCAUUUAAUCGAUAUUUGGCAAUGGGAACAAGUCUUUUGGGCACGCCAUAUUAAGAUCCUUAUAAUCUAUGCACAUGCGAAAUUUAUUAUUUUUCUUAGGAAAUGCUACUACAUUGGACAAGAGUGGGUUGCUCUAGUGGUGAGCACCCUUCACUUCCAACCAAGAAGUUGUGAGUUCGAGUCACUCCAAGAGCAAGGUGGGGGGGUUCUUGGAGGGAGGGAGCCGAGGGUCUAUCGAAAACAGCCUCUCUACCCUAGGGUAGGGGUAAGGUCUGCAUACACACUAUCCUCCACAGACCCUGCUAGUGGGAUUAUACUGGGUUAUUGUUAUUGUUGUUGUUGUUGGCUAGCCAGACUGGAUAUCUUACCUCUCGGAUUGAAACAAUAUUAAGUAAACGGGUUACCUCUUCUUUGACGAAUUUAUUCCUUGCUUCAGCAAUAGGGCGCUUCUUUUGUCUUACCGGAGGUAUGUUGGGAUCUAAGAUUAACUUGUGUACGACUAUCUCCGUUGGGACUCCUGUCAUAUCCUCGUGUGACCAUGCAAAACAAUCGGUGUUUAUUUUAAGGAAUUCAAUAAAAGCAGACCUGAGCUCCGGGUGUAGUCCUGUUCACAAAUGGAAUUUCCUUUCUAGGAAUUCUUCGAACAAUGCAACUUUCCCUAGUUCUUCUGUCGUGGAAUUCGUCGCGUCCGUCUCUUCUGGUACUUGAAAAUACCUUGGUACUUGAUAUGGUUCCAACUCUUCUGUCCCCUGGCUAACUUCCUCUGGUUUGGGGGAAGGUACUGGUUCCAGUAAUUGCUAUGUCGCAAGUUCCUUUCCUUUUCUACUGGAGAUCGAAAUUGCAUUCAUCUCCCUUGUUGUAGGUUUAUCGCCCCUUAUCUGUUUGAUCCCCUCGGGUGUCGGAAGCUUUAACAAUUGAUGAUAUGCUGAAGGCACAACUUUCAUCUCAUGCAACCAUGGUCUUCCCAAGAUGAUAUUAUACCUCAUGUCUCCAACUACCACUUCGAAGAGAGUUGUCUUCAUUACUCCCUCAGUAUUCGUGAGCAAUAAAAUUUCUCCUCGGGUUGUCACGCUUACAAAGUUAAAUCCAGCGAGGAGUUUUGUUGCCGAGAUAAUGCUUUCGGUGAGUUUAGCUUGCUUCAGUGCUCUCCAUUGUAUGAUAUUAGCUGAACUUCCUGGAUCUACUAAGACACGUUUAAUUUUAAAAUCUAACACAUUUAAAGAAAUUACCAGUGUGCGGUAACAGCAAUCGGUAUGCAUCUUUGUCCGUAAAUGUGAUAUCAUCUUCCCGGAGCCUUUUACUAUGAGUUAUUGAUACUUUUGUCUUCUUUGUUUCCGAAAAGGUGACCCCAUUAAUCUCAUUCCCUCCGAAGAUCAUGUUGAUCAUUUGGCAUGGGGGUUCUUCUCUUGCUUUCGAGGGUUCCGCGUCACCUCUAUUCAGGCCAUAAUUAUUUUUAGCUCGGUCACUCAAGAAUUCUCUGAGAUGAAAUUCUUUAACAGUGUUGCCACUUCUUCCCGGAGGUGUCUGCAGUCCCUAGUCCGAUGGCCGUUAGUACCAUGGUAUUCACACCAUAAGUUAGGAUCCCUCUAGGUGGGAUCAGAUCUCAUAAGUCUCGGGAAUUGUGCCUCUUUGAUAUUUCUCAUGGCUGACACCAGCUCCACUACACUGACGUUGAAGUUAUACUCUGAUAACUUUGGGUAAGAAGACUCUCGCGACCCCGAGAUUUCUUUUUCUUGCAGCUAUCUAUUGUUCCGGCCACUAUCGGUCCUUCUAUUAACAGUGAACUUGUCUACUGUCUGGAAGCUCCUGCCACGACCUUCGGUCCGCUCGUAGGGCAAAAAUAGGCCCUUCGAAGUCCGUCUAUCCGUGUCGUUAUCAUCUUUUAUUUUUUCUAUGUUCUUUUCUCGUCCUAUGGUCGACGAUGAAAAGCCAACCUGAUCUUCUUCGAUUCUUAUUUUUGACUCGUACCGGUUGUGGACAUCCGCCCAAGUCAUCGCUUGAAACUCGAACAGACUUUUCUUCAACUUCCGGGAAGAGUCCGAACUUCUCGGAUUUAAACCUUUGGUGAACGCUUCAGCUGCUCAUUCAUCCGGAACUGCGGGUAGUAACAUCCUUUCCUUAUGGAACCGAGUAACGAAGUCUCAUAAUAAUUCGGAUUCUCCCUGCGUGAUCCUGAAUAUGUUGGCCUUUCAGGCUUGUACCUUUCUGGCACCAGCAUGGGCCUUGAUGAAAGAAUCCGCGACUAUCUCAAUGGAAUAUAUAGAAUGCUCGGGUAAUAAUGAAUACCACGUUAAAGCUCCCCCUGUGAGAGUCUCACCAAAUUUCUUUAGCAACACGAAUUCAAUUUCGUGAGGAGCCAAAUCAUUUCCUUUUACUGCCAUCGUGUAAGUGGUAAUAUGCUCAUGAGGAUUCUAAGUUCUGUUAUAUUUUGGAACUUCAUGCAUUUUGAACCGUUUUAGGAUCAAUUCUGGUGCCGCACUCAGCUAGUAUACUUAUUUGAAUCCGGGCCCUUCAUUACUAGUGGCGCGCCCGGGAUUUGGUCCAUGCGGGCUUUUACUUCUUUCAUGAACCGUAAAAGUUCAUUAUUGAACGGGUCGUUCUCGCUGUUGAGACCGGAUCCGCUUCCCCCAGCCCCGUCAGAAUCGACUUCACCCUUGGGAGUAUUGUUGUUGACUCUCUGCAUUGUUUCGUUUUCGGAGAGGAAUUGGAUCUCGCUUGUUUGCAUUAUUCGAAGCCCCCGACAGCGCCUGUUUUAGCUCCGUCAUAACCUUAUCCUGCCGAGUGAGAUGGCCUAGAAUAAUCGCCUAUUGCUCUUGCAAGACGCUUACCGCAUCGAAGACAUGCUCUUCAUUAACAUCAUCGGGAGUUGUUUCCCGAACAUGUCGAGGAUAUUGCAUGUCAUGUAUCGGUGUAGCGUCAUUCCCCUCGUUGUGGUCGUCACAGAUUGAAUCCUAGAAAUGAGGUUGAUCCCCUCGAAAUCCAGGAUUGUGAGUGUUGUUAACAGUAUUGUCUGUCAUUUUUUUGUGAUUUUUUCUAAGACAAAACAAUCAAAGCUUGUUAGUAAAAAAAGUAAGGAUCAAUUUAAUUGCACGACUGUCUAGGCUCCACGGUGGACGCCAAACUGUUUACCCGUAAAAUGGUACAGUUGAAUUUGUUCGUGAUUUUUAGACAAGUGAAUUAAUUUGAUCCAAAAAAUAACGAAAUAACUGAUGAAAUAUAAAAUACUUAGCCUUAAAAUGUAGAUGAAACGACAGAGCUGAUGAGUCCGGGAACAGGGUUUCUGAGCACAAUAAUGAUGAGAUUAGAAGCAAGAAAGUAAAUAAUAUUAAGCUCUGUAUAGAGUGUAGUAUAAGUUUGCUAGAAAAUUUAUGUCAUUUAUAAUGAUAACUGAACUCCCUAUUUAUAGCUAUGUCUAGGGAAGGAGGUUCUAGAAUUAUGCCCUUCUUUAAUGUCAAUUAUGAGGGUCAUUAAUGAAGAUGUAACGGUAGAUAUAAAUGCCAAAUUCCCUUUAACGGGCCAUCAUCCUUAAUGCUGUAAAAUAUUCUGUAUUAAAUGUUACCGGGUGUAAAACAUUUAACACUCCAUUUUAUGAUCGUUAUUCCUUCCGGUGAAAAGCGAAAUAGCUAUGUUCGGUGGCUAUCUCCAUCUUGGGUUCCACGUGUCCUUCAUUUAAGUUGCCAUGUGUCAUGUCGUAUUUUUCCCUAUAUAGAUAGUCCCCUUGCUUUCCGAUGACACAAUCUUGUGUUACCGGGAAGUUGGUAGAAAUACUACUUUUGGCGGGAAUUACUAUAACUCCCUCUACAGUUUUUUGACAGUUGAUUAGAUAAGGAUCGGAUAAGUUACAAAACCGGAUGGCCUUUUGAUUCUCGGUACGUUGCCCCCAGCUCGAGUUAUCCGUUCGGGUAAGAUAGAUCUAGAACUUUAAACCUUUAAGGUUUAAACUUAGAAGAACAUAGCCUCAUGUAGGAUCCCUAGUAGGUACGCUUGUUUGCAUCACGUACAUUAGACUUUUGGGACUCAACACAUGGGUUGAGUCGUCUAGGACAUGUGUACCCGAAAUUAAAAAGACCAUCCUGAUGCAUCUUACGUGCUACUUUUGUAUUUGUUUGAAUUGGUUUGCAUGUUGACUCGCUUCUAGAAUAGGGAAAUAAAAUCAAGAAAAACCGAGAUAUAGAAGGUAGGAGAGAGAAAAUUGAUCGGUUCUAGAACAUCUCGGUAUUUGAAAAAAAAAGAUCCUAGAACUCUAACUAAUUUUAGAAGGAGUUCACAAAUGAGUCCGAAUUUUCAAAAAAUGACAUUUUCCCUCGGUCCUGAAAAACUCGCCGUACUACGCGUGUCUGAUUUUCACCGGAUGUGAGAUACGUAGGCAAACCUUAUCGGUUCCGGCCCCCAAUUUUCAAAAAUCUAGAAAUAUUUUCCUUUAAUUCCUUCUUUAGAAGUCUUUCCUUAGAAAAUCUCAAAUAAAAAAAAUUAACCCAAAAAUAUUUUCUUUCUUUUACAAGUCUUUCAUUCGAAAAGGAAAUAAUAAAUAAAUAAAUCAAUCAAAUCAAGAUUCAUAAAUAUGUUUUUUUUCCUUCUUUAGAAGUUUUUCUCCCAAAAACAAAUCAAAAAUCAAAACCAAAAAUUCAAAAAUAUUUUCUUUGUUCUUUGGAAGUAUUUCUUUCGAAAAUUUCCAAUCAGAAAAAAAAAAUCAAAAUCCAAAAAUAUUUUUCUUGUUAGGAACUUUUACGAUUAGAUUUUUUAAAGAGUUAAAAAAAAGGACGUUAAUUUAUUUACUUUAGACAUGAGACAGAAUUCUAAUUUUCAAUUCAAAACAACGACAGAACCUACGAACAUGAUAUGUGAUACAUAAUAAAAACAAAUUAAAUUAACAUCUGCUUACUGACUUGCGGUAGGUGAACUUAACAUAAACUAGUUUAUCAUUCCAGUUUGGAGAGUUUAAUAUUUAGACGAAAAGAUUGAAAACUGAUCAUUUUUUUCAAUGUCUAUCUCUUAGCUCUAUAUCUUGGAUUACUAAGCUACUGCUAUGAGAUGAAUAGGUGAGUUCAAAUUUAUAGUGAAUCGUAGGAUAGAUUUUGCUUUUCCUAUUUGCUGUAUUGUUGGAUGAAACAGCUUCAUAGAUUUGCUUUUAUAAAUUCAUGAAAAUCCCAGCGGUGUUGGUAUAUUACACAUUAAUUAAAGUGGCCUUCCGAUACAAGAAACUUUUGCAUACUCUCACGGCCUUAAAAAUUAAGUAUUUUUUGCUUUUCUGGAGUCAACAAUUAUUAAAUUUUAGCCAUGAAUCUUCUUAAUAAACUUUUUGAAAUGAAUGAAUUUCAGUUUGGAGUAUUUCUCUUGUAGUGUCUAGUUCAGUGUACUCAUUUUUUCCCCAAUUUGUUUGACACUUUUUUUUUGUAUAUCACGAAAAUUGACAAAUUUUUGUACUUAGAGAUUAUUUAAUCUUCCACAUUCAUUUUGUCCUAAUACGAAUCGACAUGAUUUUUCAUGAUCGAAAUGAAUAAAAAUACAACUACAAUUUGGUACUAAGGGUGCUUUUGACAUUUUAUGCAUAUUUUAAUUUUUUAAAGAUAACGUGUCCAUUCGAAUUUCCAAACAAAUGGAUGUGAGACAAAGAGAUUAAUAAACCAUUGUCAAAUCGAUUUAAUUUGUAUACAAUAACAUUUUAGAAAAAUUUGCACUAUCAAUAUAUCUUUACUUGUCACAUUAAAUAACCUAUCUUAAUUUUCAAAUUAUUAAUUUCAAUUUUAUGUGUCACACCUCCUUUUUCCCGAAGGGGAUAGAGAGUUUUUCCAAUUGAAUUGACAUUAAUCGAAAUGAAAUUAUUUAUUCAGAGUCGUCACUUGGGAUAAUUUAUGGUGUCCUAAGUCACCGGUUUAUUUCAAAUCCCAAAUCGAGGAAAUUUGACUAUGUUUUAAAGUCUGCAAAAACCAGAAGACCGGGUAAGGAAUUCUGUUAACCCGGAAGAAGGUGUUAGGCAUUCCCGAGUUCCGUGAUUUUAGCACGGUCGCUCAACUAUUAAUAAUUGGCUUAAUAAUCUGAUUUAUUACAUGUUUUAGAACCUAUUAUGCAUUUUUACCUUUUAAAACCGCUUUUAAUUAUUUAUGAAAUUAUUUGAACAAGUCGCGAUGUCGCGCACUCGUUUGUUUUUGUACACAUUGCGAAUCGCGCCACGUAAAACACAUCCAUAAUUUAUAACAUGUUAAUUUUUAUUAUUCGAAGUUAUGGUCGAGCACAUGAAAUGCACACCCAAAUUUGGAUUUAUGUAUCAUGACCAUGCCACAGGAACUGUACUCAUAGUCACGAUGAUUUAUUAUUAAUCACGCCUAAAGCAAGCUACGAUAUUUAUGAAUAUUAACGGCCAAGCAUGCUCCUAACGGUCAAAACAAUUGAAUAAUGCAAUAAAGGUUACAGUUUCAAUAUUUCAUUUCAAUUUAGCCCAACGUCCCUACGCCCGACAUGAAAGCUCAUUUAAAUAUAAGUCCAACAAAGCACUCAAGAAAAACAAAUAGCAUCCAAACAAAUAACACAUCGUGCAGCAAAUUGCUCCUGCGAUAACAUAAGGUUAUUUAAAACACGAUUCUAGCCCACUAAUAUACCAAACCAAUCUAUAGAAAAUUUCAGAGAAUUCAAGCCUAACAUAUCCAAACUCACUUUGUUACUUAAACAAAAUUAAUCCAAAUCUUACUUCCAAUUUUAAGACUUAUACUUAUCAAAUGUAGAACUAGAUUGAACAAACUAAAAUUCCCUUCAUCUUUGUUAUCAAAUGUCACUGCCCAGAGAGAAUGCUAAGCACAAAAGGAACGAGAAUCUGACAACAAAUUAAGCUCAAAUUCAUUUUAGACAUAGACCAACACAGAGGAACAUGAAUCAGAUAACCAAUCAAACUUUAAUUCAUUUGAAAUAAAGAGUGAGACAGAAGAAAUGAACCUUGAUUGAAAAAUAAAAUCGGCAAACAAGAACUGCACCCGAACCUCGAGCGGAACCUCAGACUCUAACCUCGAACAGAUUUUGGAAUUUUUGUUUUAGGCGAUGAGCGAUGAAGCUGUGUGCUGAGACCCGUUUCCUUUUGCUCUCCCCGUUGCUUUGUCCGUUCCCUCAACUCCCUCUGUUUCGUGACCUCCUCUCUUUAUGGGUGGUGUCUUCCGGUGUUAAUGGCUGAUUUACGGUGGCUUUAGGGGGUUGAAUGGGCUAUUUUUGGGGCUGGACUUUGGUGGAGGUUUGUGUUGAUUACGGUGGAGAAGAUAGGUUCUUGAAUUUUUCCGUUCCUUUUCCUUUUGUUCCCCUGUUUUUCUCUGUUUUUGUUCUGUUUGCCGUCGUGAGUGGAGUUGAAGGGUAGUGUUGAAGUUGGUGGUAAUGGGUGUUUAAUAGAGAUUAAAGUAGAGUGGGAAAUUAGGUGGCGUCCAUGGAGUUGAACUGUGGCAUCUCUCUCUUUUUUCUAAUCCCGUUCCCAAACCCUCUGCUUUUCUCUCGUCCUCUAGGCCUCUCUUUUCUCUCUUUGCUCUAUCUGUUUUUUCUCCUUUUUUGUUUUUCCCAGCCCCCUUUGUGUGUGGAAGAUCUAUAGGAAC
rnacentral:lncRNA from 1 species